rnacentral:rRNA from 1 species
UACGUAGGGGGGAAGCGUUGUCCGGAUUUAUUGGGCGUAAAGAGCGUGUAGGCGGCCAGAUAGGUCCGUUGUGAAAACUGGAGGCUUAACCUCCAGCUGUCGAUGGAAACCAUCUGGCUAGAGUCCGGAAGAGGAGAGUGGAAUUCCUGGUGUAGCGGUGAAAUGCGCAGAUAUCAGGAAGAACACCCGUGGCGAAGGCGGCUCUCUGGGACGGUACUGACGCUGAGACGCGAAAGCGUGGGGAGCGAACAGG